rnacentral:rRNA from 1 species
GGGUUGUGAGGUUAAGCGACUAAGCGUACACGGUGGAUGCCCUGGCAGUCAGAGGCGAUGAAGGGCGUGCUAAUCUGCGAUAAGCGCCGGUAAGGUGAUAUGAACCGUUAUAACCGGCGAUACCCGAAUGGGGAAACCCAGUGUGACUCGUCACACUAUCAUUAACUGAAUCCAUAGGUUAAUGAGGCGAACCGGGGGAACUGAAACAUCUAAGUACCCCGAGGAAAAGAAAUCAACCGAGAUUCCCCCAGUAGCGGCGAGCGAACGGGGAGGAGCCCAGAGCCUGAAUCAGCAUGUGUGUUAGUGGAAGCGUCUGGAAAGGCGCGCGAUACAGGGUGACAGCCCCGUACACAAAAGCGCAUGUGCUGUGAGCUCGAUGAGUAGGGCGGGACACGUGGUAUCCUGUCUGAAUAUGGGGGGACCAUCCUCCAAGGCUAAAUACUCCUGACUGACCGAUAGUGAACCAGUACCGUGAGGGAAAGGCGAAAAGAACCCCGGCGAGGGGAGUGAAAAAGAACCUGAAACCGUGUACGUACAAGCAGUGGGAGCACCCUUUGGGUGUGACUGCGUACCUUUUGUAUAAUGGGUCAG